rnacentral:rRNA from 1 species
AUUGAACGCUGGCGGAAUGCUUUACACAUGCAAGUCGAACGGCAGCACGGACUUCGGUCUGGUGGCGAGUGGCGAACGGGUGAGUAAUACAUCGGAACGUGCCCAGUCGUGGGGGAUAACGUAGCGAAAGCUACGCUAAUACCGCAUACGAUCUAAGGAUGAAAGCGGGGGAUCGCAAGACCUCGCGCGAUUGGAGCGGCCGAUGGCAGAUUAGGUAGUUGGUAGGGUAAAGGCCUACCAAGCCGACGAGCUGUAGCUGGUCUGAGAGGACGCUCAGUCACAAUCGAGAUGAGGCACAGUCCAGACUCGUACGGGAGGCAGCAGUGGGUGAUAUUUGACAAUGGGCGAAGGCCUGAUCCAGCCAGGCCGCGUGAAGGAUGAAGGCGCUAUGCGUUGUAAACUUCUUUUGAACGGGAAAAAACCCCUUUACGUGUAAAGGGUUGAUUGUACCGUUAGAAUAAGGGUCGGCUAACUUCGUGCCAGCCGCCGCAGUAA